GGACCGGAAGGCGCGACGGGUACGUCCGGGGUAGGAGUGAAAUCCUGUAAUCCUGGACNGACCACCGAUGGCGAAAGCACGUCGCGAGGACGGAUCCGACAGUGAGGGACGAAAGCCAGGGUCUCGAACCGGAUUAGAUACCCGGGUAGUCCUAGCCGUAAACAAUGUCUGUUAGGUGUGGCUCCCACUACGAGUGGGUGCUGUGCCGUAGGGAAGCCGCUAAACAGACCGCCUGGGAAGUACGUCCGCAAGGA
rnacentral:rRNA from 1 species